GGGCGUGUGGUCUAGUGGUAUGAUUCUCGCUUUGGGUAUUUCCUUAGUUUACACUAAGGAUAUAAUUCAAAUAUGCGAGAGGCCCUGGGUUCAAUUCCCAGCUCGCCCC
rnacentral:tRNA from 1 species